UACGUAGGGUGCGAGCGUUGUCCGGAAUUAUUGGGCGUAAAGAGCUCGUAGGCGGUGUGUCGCGUCGGCCGUGAAAACCUGGGGCUCAACUCUGGGCGUGCGGUCGAUACGGGCAUCACUGGAGUUCGGCAGGGGAGACUGGAAUUCCUGGUGUAGCGGUGAAAUGCGCAGAUAUCAGGAGGAACACCGGUGGCGAAGGCGGGUCUCUGGGCCGAUACUGACGCUGAGGAGCGAAAGCAUGGGUAGCGAACGGG
rnacentral:rRNA from 1 species